rnacentral:rRNA from 1 species
CCUACGGGAGGCAGCAGUGGGGAAUAUUGGACAAUGGGCGAAAGCCUGAUCCAGCCAUGCCGCGUGUGUGAAGAAGGCCUUCGGGUUGUAAAGCACUUUCAGUGGGGAAGAAAGCCUUGGGGCUAAUACCCUCGAGGAAGGACAUCACCCACAGAAGAAGCACCGGCUAACUCCGUGCCAGCAGCCGCGGUAAUACGGAGGGUGCGAGCGUUAAUCGGAAUUACUGGGCGUAAAGCGCGCGUAGGCGGUCUGAUAAGCCGGUUGUGAAAGCCCCGGGCUCAACCUGGGAACGGCAUCCGGAACUGUCAGGCUAGAGUGCAGGAGAGGAAGGUAGAAUUCCCGGUGUAGCGGUGAAAUGCGUAGAGAUCGGGAGGAAUACCAGUGGUGAAGGCGGCCUUCUGGACUGACACUGACGCUGAGGUGCGAAAGCGUGGGUAGCAAACAGGAUUAGAUACCCGAGUAGUC